rnacentral:rRNA from 1 species
AGCAUGUGCGCGAGUCAUUGGGAAUCUAUAAACCUAAAGGCGUAAUGAAAGUGAAGGUUUUCCUCGCGAAAACCUAGGGAGGACGGGCGGCCGCCGCUCGCGCGACCGGCCGCCUCGCACUCCCGGGGCGUCUCGUUCUCAUCGCGAGAAGAGGCGCACCAAGAGCGUACACGCUGGGACCCGAAAGAUGGUGAACUAUGCCUGGUCAGGAUGAAGUCAGGGGAAACCCUGAUGGAGGUCCGUAGCGAUUCUGACGUGCAAAUCGAUCGUCGGAACUGGGUAUAGGGGCGAAAGACUAAUCGAACCAUCUAGUAGCUGGUUCCCUCCGAAGUUUCCCUCAGGAUAGCUGGCGCUCGUUGCGUACGAGUCUCAUCCGGUAAAGCGAAUGAUUAGAGGCAUUGGGGUCGAAACGACCUCAACCUAUUCUCAAACUUUAAAUGGGUGAGAUCUCCGGCUUGCUCGAACAAACCGUGCCGUAAAAGGCGCUAGUUGAAGCCGCGAGAUAUACGGAUCAGAGUGCCAAGUGGGCCAUUUUUGGUAAGCAGAACUGGCGCUGUGGGAGAACCAAACGUCGAGUUAAAGCGCCUAAAUCGACGCUUAUGGGAUACCAUGAAAGGCGUUGGUAACUUAAGACAGCAGGACG